UACAGAGGUCCCAAGCGUUGUUCGGAUUCAUUGGGCGUAAAGGGUGCGUAGGUGGCGCUGUAAGUCGGGUGUGAAAUUUCGGAGCUUAACUCCGAAACUGCAUUCGAUACUGCGGUGCUCGAGGACUGGAGAGGAGACUGGAAUUCAUGGUGUAGCAGUGAAAUGCGUAGAGAUCAUGAGGAAGACCAGUGGCGAAGGCGGGUCUCUGGGCCGGUACUGACGCUGAGGAGCGAAAGCGUGGGGAGCAAACAGG
rnacentral:rRNA from 1 species